rnacentral:rRNA from 1 species
AGAGUUGAUCCUGGCUCAAGACGAACGCUGGCGGCAGGCUAACACAUGCAAGUCGAACGCUCGUAGCAAUACGGGAGUGGCAGACGGGUGAGUAACGCGUGGGAACAUACCCUUUGGUUCGGAAUAACUGAGAGAAAUUUCAGCUAAUACCGGAUGUGCCCCCAAGUAGGAAUAUUUGGGGGGAAAGAUUUAUCGCCAAAGGAUUGGCCCGCGUCUGAUUAGCUAGUUGGUGAGGUAACGGCUCACCAAGGCGACGAUCAGUAGCUGGUCUGAGAGGAUGAUCAGCCACACUGGGACUGAGACACGGCCCAGACUCCUACGGGAGGCAGCAGUGGGGAAUAUUGGACAAUGGGGGCAACCCUGAAUCCAGCCAUGCCGCGUGAGUGAUGAAGGCCUUAGGGUUGUAAAGCUCUUUCGUCAGGGAAGAUAAUGACGGUACCUGAAGAAGAAGCCCCGGCUAACUUCGUGCCAGCCGCCGC